UGCCAUUUUUAACUGAACAUUUCCUGUCCUCCAAAUCAUUCUAGGUUCAGCCUCCAAGAAAGUAGCAAGGGAAAAUCAGGCCAUUUAAAAAUAAAAUAGAUUACUUCUGCACAGCUUUCUUUAAUCAAAACCAUUAUAACUGAUGGCUCAGAGCCUUGAUUACACCUCUUCAGAGGGCACCCCUUGAUUUUGUGCGACAUCCCUGAUUAUUUUAUUUACUUAUUUAUUUAUUUAUUUAUUAGCUUUUAUUUUCUGCCUUGAUUUCUAGGUCACAGAGUUGAGGCUCUUUCUUGUUUUAAGCGCAUUGGCUUGUUUCUUAGUGGCAGGUUAUUUUUCUUACAGGGGCUAUGAAGUAAACAUGCCCCUUUUUCAGAGGAAGACAAAAAUUCCCGUGAUCACAUAUUCCUGGAGUUCUUUCUCUUCCUCCCCAGCCCCUGUGGAGAGCAAGACUGGACGAAGAAUCAUUCCUCCUGACCUCUACCGAGCACCCGCAGAGCUAAGGGCCAAAAGGUCAUUUUCUCAGGUUCCCUCUGGAGGGAGAAUCCAAAGGUCAUUCCCUCCUGCCCCAACUCACACCAAGUGCAUCUGAGAGACAUUUAAAACUCCUUUGAAGAGGAAGAGACGGAGUCUGUGUGCUUUACCUACUGCCCUCAACAGCUAAGAGAUGUGAACCAGGGUUAUGCCUGAAAUGUUUCCCUUGACGCUCAGACUUACUCAGGCCUGGCCUUGGGUUCAAGGUUUGGCCCUUUGUGAACUUCAGUGGGGAUGGGCAGACAUUGCUCACACAGCUGUGAGGUGGGCCUCACUGUUUCUGCUUCCUUUUCUGUUCCUCAAAGCAGCCUUCUCCUUCCCACAGCCCCCAGGGUCCUUCUCCUCCCAGAACUGCAUUUUACUAGUAAUUUACCAGAUGCCAUUAGGGAGUGGGGUGGAACAGCUCUUAAUCUCUUGAUGUUCCUGGUUCUUGGGAAUGGAGCUGCAGGGAUCAUUUUGUAAGUUCUCUUAGAAGACAAACCCAGAUAGACUCACCCAGCCUCACCCAGAGCUCCUGCUGCUGAUGCCCACUGCUUUGCCAUUCACGAACCCUUGGACUGGUUUUGGAACCACAGUGCAUUUCCCAAGAGUGAAGUAAAUAGUCAAGGUUCUACACUUCCUUCUCAUCCCUUUCAAGCAAAAAGUCUCUUUGUUUUCUUGCUCUCCAAAUGACCAAGUAAAAGGGAGAUUUCUCAUUGUUAAUUUCUUUGACCUGCCUGAGGGAGGAAGGAAGAGAAGAGCAACAGUUAUUUCACAAGGUCCCCUGCAGAAGGGGGGCACCAAGGGUCACUUCCCCUCAAUCUGUCCCCUCCAAAGGAGUGCAGUUAGGCUGUGUCAAUGCCAUGGUCUCUUUGUGGUGGAUAUGCAGCCAGAGGUCAUCCCCUGCCGCAGCCCUGCUCUCGCUGCGGAUGACCACACUCUCCUGCAUGCCUGCUUUCUCUCACACAUGGGGGGCAGGGGAGAUUAGUUCUUUUUCCCUCUCUCUGCUUUGUACAGAGAGAACUCACAAGUCACUACCUGGACCCCUUUCGGACAGAGACAAUAGAAAAAAGGCAGUUCCUAGGUUGUUUUUUUUCUGAGGAUUUUUCAGGCUGCUGGGGCAUAGCAGAAUUAGCUGAGCAAAGCUUUACAAUCCAAAUAAAAGUGAAAUGCUGAAGUAAAGGUUUUGAGCCAUUUGGAGGUUUUCGUAACACUGCCCAGAGCAGCGGCAAAUCCACUGCAAAAUUUCUAUUGACCCUUGGGUACACAUCAUCCCUAAAUUUAGGGAAAAUGCUAAUCUCCUGUGAAGAACUGUAAGAAAGCAAGGCUUAUAAGAAAUAUACCAGAAAAUCUUGUUUCCGUGUCACCAGACAGAAAACAAUAACUAAAAACACCUAUCCUGCUUGUUGUUUUGAGGUUUGGGUUGUUGCAGGUAACUCCCUCAGGGCUUGAUCUGAACCCUUCGAAGUAAUGCAAGUGUUCUGGUUGAAUUUCAUGCUCUUUGGGUCAGGCCAAAACCAGGCUUCCAUCUUUACAUUAGUCUCUGGGAAGAUCUUUAAGGAGUUAAUGUAGAAUUAAAAGUUUUUGUCAAGAGCUUCCUUUUCACAGGUGAUCUGAUUCUUUCAAGUCUGGAGGCUAACUUUUGUUCAGAGAUAGGGGUCUGCAGCUCCCUCUGAAGUUGAUGAGCUCGUCUUUGCCACCUCCAAAGCAGAACCAAGGGAAAUAAGCACUGUGCAGCUGCUUACUUUAGGACAAGAAUUUGGCCCCAGGAUUAAAGAAGAAAACACACUUGUACAUUGUCAAGGCAUCCUACAAUUUCAGCCUUAACUAUUUUAAAUGACGAGAACAGCAAGCUGCUCAAAAAAGAUGUGCAGGCUUUUUAUGUACUCGUAAGACUGACUGAAUAGCGAAACUAAUUUGGCAACACAAAUCAUCAUAUACCCAGAACUUCUUCAUGAACUCCUUGGCAAGAUUCAAAGCUCCUUUUGACACACUCCAAGACUGCUUACAGGAGAACAUAUUCUAGUUCAGACUUCUUUCUUUUCUCCUCCUCCCCACUUCCUCUACAAAGCCAGAAUGACUUCUCUUAUGGCAGAUGUUGACUCCUGGUACUGCGAUUGCAGUCUCCACACUUUAGCACACUAAAAAUGAGUCCAGAAUUUCCUAUUCAGCUCUUGAGAUAACGCAUUGUUUCCAUAGAAGACAUGUGGAAGAACUUCAGGUUUAUUCCCUAGGUAAAAUAUAUCUCUGUGAUGCUGUGAGGCUUGGGUGGUAAAUGGCUGCAAAAUGCCUUGAGAUCCCCAUGUAAGUACACAACACUGGUGUUCUACAGCACUUCAGUGCUCUCAAGUUCCAGACUGGAGCCAUUCGUCAGUGCUCUGGAUAACUCCCCCUUAAACAAACGAUUUGCAAAUAGAAGUGACAUACUGUUCUACACACUGGGCUGCACAUUGGUGGGAUGCUGGUCAUCUGCACAGCACCAAGCCUUCCUGUGCAUGCCCAGUCAUUCCAGGAUAUGAAGAGGGACAGGAUCCGCUCUUCCGCUCAGACUUGCUUGUUUCACUCAAGUGUGAGCUCAUAGUGCCACCCUUGAUCUUGGAUCUGUGGCUCUGCCUUGGAGCAUUACACACUUCCUGUGAUGAUUUAUUUUGUGCCAGGUUUUGUGCCAGGCAAAUACAAGGCUUUUUUCCUCAGAAAAGUCCUCCUCAAGGUCCAAGUGUUUUAAAAUAGGUACGCUUAUCUGUCACAAAAUAAAAAAUCACUAUUCCACUUCCUUAUGACCAAGAACCACCAGGCCUUUUAGCGUCUACAUACACUAUUGAGGUUUGGCCUGACAGACUUUCAACAGCACCGAAUGUCCCCAAACCAAGCCCAGCCGCCUCUCCCACGUAGUCCUCCCGCGCCCACCCUCCCUCACGGCGGCAUCAGCCGUUAACGGCACCGCCCCGCGGGGGCCGGCGGCCGGCUGCGCGCCCGCUAGCGCCGCCAUCGCCGCGGUCUCUAUCGCAACGCCGGAUUGGCUAAGCGGCGUCGGGAAGGUGUCCGCCGAUUGGUUGUGUCCGGGUGCUGUUGCUAUGACUCCGUUGCUAGGGCCUCGGCCGUCUCCAGGCCCUGCAGGAAACAUCUCAGGCCUUCACUAAUGGUUUCAAUAGCCUUUGGCUGAGGAGAGCUUCCCUGUGAGUGCCAUAUCUAUAACGUGCCUGCUUCACACAAGUGCGAAACUGGAUGUUGUUACUCACAGAUAACUCUCCAGCUGGAACUCCCCACAUGAACAAAGCCUCUGAUGUUUCAUACCUGAAUAAACAGGGAGAAGUAAAUCACUUAAGCAAGAGCUCUGAGAUGAAGAUGGCAUAUAUCCACCCUCCUGUGAUUCAGAGUAGAAUGACACCUUAUUUCUAGGAUUAUUAAACAAAAUAUUCUGUUGUGUAAAAACCAAUGAGCACUAAAAAAAAGAAAAAAAUAAAAAAUUAAGAAAGUCUAUGAAAAACUGCAUACAGGAGGAGAAAACACUCUAAACUCUGGCCAUUAGGCAGUCCCUAAAAAAAGGUUCAGCUGCAAUGGCCCUUAUGUUUUAUUAUUUUCUAUUAUCAAAAUGUUUUCUGUUGAAUAAAAUGGUUAAGGCAAAACUGUACUGCCUAUCCCACCCAUUCCUGACAGAGCAUUCAUCAAACUCCAUUAGAAAAAAAAAUAAAUCCAGGCUAUAGAUGUGUCAUCAGAGACCCAAUGAUGCUGAGAAAUGUCUGAGAUGCGGUUUGCUGAAAACACUAUAUUAACAUUUGUGUAUAUGGAUGUGUUAAUUUUAUGGUUUUGGUUAUGUGCAACAUACAUUAAAAUGAAAAAUAUGUUAA